UACGUAGGGUGCGAGCGUUGCCCGGAUUUAUUGGGCGUAAAGGGCGCGUAGGCGGCUCUGCACGUCCGUUGUGAAAUCGCCCGGCUCAACUGGGCGGGGUCAGCGGAUACGGCAGAGCUUGAGCAAGCUAGGGGGCAAUGGAAUUCCCGGUGUAGUGGUGGAAUGCGUAGAUAUGCGGAGGAACACCGAUGGCGAAGGCAAUCCCCUGGGCCUGCACUGACGCUCAUGCACGAAAGCGUGGGGAGCAAACAGG
rnacentral:rRNA from 1 species